AUGUUGAAGAGCCUGUUUCAGAUUAUCUUCGAGCUACUGUUUCAACAGUAAUGUCAAUUCAUGAUAAGGAGCCAAUGGGGGUUAUUCUUGUCUUUUUAACUCGCCAAGAUGAUAUUGAUACUGCCGUUCAAUUAAUCACGGGAGAAGCCCAAAACAGCGGCAAGUCUUCUCUAGGAUUGAUUGUUUUGCCUUUGUAUUCUGGACUCACUUAU